GGUUAAGCGACUAAGCGUACACGGUGGAUGCCCUGGCAGUCAGAGGCGAUGAAGGACGUGCUAAUCUGCGAAAAGCGUCGGUAAGGUGAUAUGAACCGUUACAGCCGGCGAUGUCCGAAUGGGGAAACCCAGUGCAAUUCGUUGCACUAUCGUUAACUGAAUACAUAGGUUAACGAGGCGAACCGGGGGAACUGAAACAUCUAAGUACCCCGAGGAAAAGAAAUCAACCGAGAUUCCCCCAGUAGCGGCGAGCGAACGGGGAGCAGCCCAGAGUCUGAAUCAGCUUGUGUGUUAGUGGAACGGUCUGGAAAGUCCGACGGUACAGGGUGAUAGUCCCGUACACCAAAAUGCACAGGUUGUGAACUCGAAGAGUAGGGCGGGACACGUGGUAUCCUGUCUGAAUAUGGGGGGACCAUCCUCCAAGGCUAAAUACUCCUGACUGACCGAUAGUGAACCAGUACCGUGAGGGAAAGGCGAAAAGAACCCCGGCGAGGGGAGUGAAAAAGAACCUGAAACCGUGUACGUACAAGCAGUGGGAGCACCUUCGGGUGUGACUGCGUACCUUUUGUAUAAUGGGUCAGCGACUUAUAUUCUGUAGCAAGGUUAACCGUAUAGGGGAGCCGCAGGGAAACCGAGUCUUAACUGGGCGUUAAGUUGCAGGGUAUAGACCCGAAACCCGGUGAUCUAGCCAUGGGCAGGUUGAAGGUUGGGUAACACUAACUGGAGGACCGAACCGACUAAUGUUGAAAAAUUAGCGGAUGACUUGUGGCUGGGGGUGAAAGGCCAAUCAAACCGGGAGAUAGCUGGUUCUCCCCGAAAGCUAUUUAGGUAGCGCCUCGUGAAUUCAUCUUCGGGGGUAGAGCACUGUUUCGGCUAGGGGGUCAUCCCGACUUACCAACCCGAUGCAAACUACGAAUACCGAAGAAUGUUAUCACGGGAGACACACGGCGGGUGCUAACGUCCGUCGUGAAGAGGGAAACAACCCAGACCGCCAGCUAAGGUCCCAAAGUCAUGGUUAAGUGGGAAACGAUGUGGGAAGGCACAGACAGCCAGGAUGUUGGCUUAGAAGCAGCCAUCAUUUAAAGAAAGCGUAAUAGCUCACUGGUCGAGUCGGCCUGCGCGGAAGAUGUAACGGGGCUAAACCAUGCACCGAAGCUGCGGCAGCGACACUAUGUGUUGUUGGGUAGGGGAGCGUUCUGUAAGCCUGCGAAGGUGACCUGUGAGGGUUGCUGGAGGUAUCAGAAGUGCGAAUGCUGACAUAAGUAACGAUAAAGCGGGUGAAAAGCCCGCUCGCCGGAAGACCAAGGGUUCCUGUCCAACGUUAAUCGGGGCAGGGUGAGUCGACCCCUAAGGUGAGGCCGAAAGGCGUAGUCGAUGGGAAACAGGUUAAUAUUCCUGUACUUGGUGUUACUGCGAAGGGGGGACGGAGAAGGCUAUGUUAGCCGGGCGACGGUUGUCCCGGUUUAAGCAUGUAGGCUGAUUGUCCAGGCAAAUCCGGAUAAUCAAGGCUGAGGUGUGAUGACGAGGCACUACGGUGCUGAAGUAACAAAUGCCCUGCUUCCAGGAAAAGCCUCUAAGCAUCAGGUAACAUUAAAUCGUACCCCAAACCGACACAGGUGGUCAGGUAGAGAAUACCAAGGCGCUUGAGAGAACUCGGGUGAAGGAACUAGGCAAAAUGGUGCCGUAACUUCGGGAGAAGGCACGCUGGUGUGUAGGUGAAGUCCCUGCGGAUGGAGCUGAGACCAGUCGAAGAUACCAGCUGGCUGCAACUGUUUAUUAAAAACACAGCACUGUGCAAACACGAAAGUGGACGUAUACGGUGUGACGCCUGCCCGGUGCCGGAAGGUUAAUUGAUGGGGUUAUCCGUAAGGAGAAGCUCUUGAUCGAAGCCCCGGUAAACGGCGGCCGUAACUAUAACGGUCCUAAGGUAGCGAAAUUCCUUGUCGGGUAAGUUCCGACCUGCACGAAUGGCGUAAUGAUGGCCAGGCUGUCUCCACCCGAGACUCAGUGAAAUUGAACUCGCUGUGAAGAUGCAGUGUACCCGCGGCAAGACGGAAAGACCCCGUGAACCUUUACUAUAGCUUGACACUGAACAUUGAGCCUUGAUGUGUAGGAUAGGUGGGAGGCUUUGAAGCGUGGACGCCAGUCUGCGUGGAGCCAACCUUGAAAUACCACCCUUUAAUGUUUGAUGUUCUAACGUUGGCCCCUUAUCGGGGUUGCGGACAGUGUCUGGUGGGUAGUUUGACUGGGGCGGUCUCCUCCCAAAGCGUAACGGAGGAGCACGAAGGUUAGCUAAUCCUGGUCGGACAUCAGGAGGUUAGUGCAAUGGCAUAAGCUAGCUUGACUGCGAGCGUGACGGCGCGAGCAGGUGCGAAAGCAGGUCAUAGUGAUCCGGUGGUUCUGAAUGGAAGGGCCAUCGCUCAACGGAUAAAAGGUACUCCGGGGAUAACAGGCUGAUACCGCCCAAGAGUUCAUAUCGACGGCGGUGUUUGGCACCUCGAUGUCGGCUCAUCACAUCCUGGGGCUGAAGUAGGUCCCAAGGGUAUGGCUGUUCGCCAUUUAAAGUGGUACGCGAGCUGGGUUUAGAACGUCGUGAGACAGUUCGGUCCCUAUCUGCCGUGGGCGCUGGAGAAUUGAGGGGGGCUGCUCCUAGUACGAGAGGACCGGAGUGGACGCAUCACUGGUGUUCGGGUUGUCAUGCCAAUGGCACUGCCCGGUAGCUAAAUGCGGAAGAGAUAAGUGCUGAAAGCAUCUAAGCACGAAACUUGCCCCGAGAUGAGUUCUCCCUGAGACUUUAAGUCUCCUGAAGGAACGUUAAAGACGAUGACGUUGAUAGGCCGGGUGUGUAAGCGCAGCGAUGCGUUGAGCUAACCGGUACUAAUGAACCGUGAGGCUUAACCUU
rnacentral:rRNA from 1 species